rnacentral:misc_RNA from 1 species
UUUUAUUUUAUUUUAUUUUUUGAAUUCAACAAUAUAAUUCUCAAAAACUGAUAAUGCCUAUUUUAUCGAACGAACACUAAAGGGCUAUGGAUCCUAGAUACAAGAAGGCGAGGGAAAAUACUACAGAUAAGAGGCUUACAGAAAAUGGAAUACGUCCUUCAUCCUUCCUCAAUAGCAUCCCUUCAAUGACUGGGAAAUUCAAGGCUACAUUGUAAAGAGUGAGGAAAACUUGUCCAAACAUGUAUUUCCAAGUUCCAGGGAUGAACAUUCUAGCAACUCUACCCACAAGAGAUACCAUGUUCAAAAUGAUUAAAGCAACCAUGGGAGCAAGUAACACAGUUGACGCUUGAUAACUGAAUUUACCCUUUUGGUAUAAUGUGAUUUGUCCUUCUUUAGCAACUUUAUUUGUUGGCACGAAACUAGCUUUUCUCAAUCCAACCCACUUCAGGAUAGCAUCUAAACUGCCAUAUGUAUAUACUGUAACAGACUUUAUCAUCCAGAUUCGUUGUUCAUUCCACCAGGUUUGGACUGAGAAUCCAGAGGACAGAACCUCCUCUAAAUGUUUCAAGAAAGACCCAAGGAAUAUGAAUGAGAAGAUAAAAAACCAUGAACUUGAAUACUUGGACAAAUUUUUAGGCUAAAAUAGGGAAACUAUGCAAGAUUUCAGAGCAUAAGUCCUAUCAAGAGAGGACACUUAUAAAAAGAAAAAGGUUGUUACCUUGGGAUAAAUGGGGAUGCCAUUCCAUAGAUAAAGUUGAGGCAGAGUGGCUAAACACCACAAGGGAAAGGAAUAGAGUGGCUGGAGUGCAAAAUACCCGUAGCACAUGGUUUGAAACAAAGACAUUCUUGAUAACCAAUAAAUGAAAGGACAAUACCUUGAGAUGGUAACCUCCAUCAACCCAUAGUUCCAUCUUGUUCCUUGAAUUAAAGUGUCAUUCAAAUUUGUGGUAGCGUUGCCUUAGAAUGCUGGCUUUGAAGGAUUACAUAAUACAGAAGUCCACCCUUUGCGGUGCAAGAUGAAACCGGUGAAGUAAUCUUCUACCACAGAAUUAUACAAGAAUCCCAUCUGUGCACCCCAAAGAGUGUGUUUCUCAUAAGUACAAUUGGCUAAAAAUUUAGCCACUUGCAGGGGUUUGCUCCACGAUUCUUUUUUUUUGGCAUGGAUGUUAUGUUGGUUGAUCUGGUGAACUGACAUUAUAAAAUCAUUUGAGGGACCAAAAGACUGUUUUAGCUGCUCUAGAUCUGCAUCAGGUGAGCGUCAUGAUCAGUGUAAUCAUUUCAAACAAAAUCAAACCAUAUAAUUUUAACAUGGUCAAAGAUUUGUAAGAAAAAUUGAGAAUAGGUUUCAUAGCAGAAUAAGAUCCUGCAAUUUCAUGGCAAUGGGUUCUGUAAUUUGAUCCCAAGCUACAUUAUGAAUAUUGUUGUUUAAACUGGCAUUGCAUUGGUGUAACUCCAUUAGAGGGAAUCUGAGCUUUGCCAAACCCGGAGAUUUCCAGUGAAUUUUCUUUUCCAUUUUUUUUUUUAAAAAAAAGGAAAUGUGGCUGAGUCAAACUCAAGGGAAUAGUGCUCAGGCUUUAUAAGGACCAGAUUACUCCUGUCCCAAAAUGUUGAGAUUGAACAGUUGGAGAGUAAAAUAGUAUAAAAGGCCCCACAUUGACGGAAAAGACUCUAAUAUUAUCUCAAGAAAAUGUAGUCUAGCCUAAUUUACCCCAAAAGAUAGCUAAGGGGAGGAGUGUGAGGCAAACUGAAAUGGGAUAUUAAUAUUUUUAAUUGAAAGUUGCGAGUAUUUAUACUCCCCCUUCAUUGGAAGAUCACCGUACAAAGCCCCUCUCUUCAUGUAAAAGCCAGUGCCAGACAACAUUGGCCCCUGAAGCCCAUCCAUAGCUGGCCACCUUAUAACGAAUAUUGUUCUCAAUUGGUUAUCGUAAAUGUCACUCUUACUGAUGUUAUGGGAUUUCUGGGGGAAUUGGACGAAAGCAAGCGAGAUGGAGAUUUCAGGAUCAAGGUGGAAACACAUUGCUUCCCUAGCUGAUGUUGGAUCGUUGCAGUACAUGUCACAAUCUAGUACCAAAAUGUAAGGCGAGUUGGUUAAAAUUCCUGAGACCCUUAGAAGAACAUUGAGUGCUCCAGCUUUGAAAUGGUGUGGCUGAUAAGGCCUUUUUUCACAAGAAACGUAGACAAGAAGAGGCAUCUCCUUAUCAGAUUUAUCAUGUAUCACCUCGAUUGCUGGAGGAUGAUCAAUAUCAUUUUCUUCACUUUCUUCCGCUCUCUCCACUCUCUUCAUACUGCUCAUAUUUUUUCUUGAUCUUCUCCUUUUCCUCUUCAUAUUCCACACUACGAGAAUGAACAAGAUCAUCUUCCAAGCUUGAAAAAAAAAUCUUAGGACUCCUAUUCUGGAUCCCAAAUCUUCUACAAAAUGGAAUCCAAGACCUAGCAAAAGCACAAGCCUCUCUAAUACCCUUUAACGUUGGAGAAGAUCCCCCAUCAUCUGAAAGAUACACAGAGAGCUUCUCCGGUGGAUAAUCCAGCGCCAUAGCAGAUAAAACAGUGUUCAUUACCUCCACUGGCGGCUCUUUCUUGGGGUCUGCGGCGCAAAUGAACACAUCAAUAGCAGGAAGAUCUUUAUUUUCUGGCAACCUUUUAUGGGAGAGGUGUUCGAGAAACUGGUGCCCUUAGAAAAGCUUGUCUAAAGAGCCAGAUAAGAGAAAGUAAGAGCUCAGAGGCAGAGAGUAGAAGACAAGGGAGUGCAGGUUUUGGUAGGGGAAAAGAAAAGAGUCUACAGUAGAUCAGGGCCAUCAAGGCUAUGAAGUGAAAGAGAGCAUAGGAGCGAUUGAUGAUGGUUGAGCGUAUGUGAGGAGUGCGAAGAUGGAGAGGAGAAUUCAUCUUUGACUUGCUGGUUGAUUAGGGUUUGGUGGAAAAUAAAUGUUAGCUUGGGUCUAUAUAGAUGGAUUUGUGAGUUCUGAAUAUCAAUUGUAUGAUGCUUAAACAUCUGUUGUGCUCAUCGAUAGUAAAUUUAUUCAAGAACCAAUAAAAUUAGCGCAAGAAAGGAUUUAGCCAAUUUUUUAUAUCAUGAAGAAGAACAAGUAGAGAUUAAUAUUGGAAAGAUCAAUUCAGUAAAAUAAGC